GUUCUACAAUCAACAAUCAAGUGAUAUUCUAUCGACAUCCACUCANNNNNNNNNNGGGGGGGGGGGGUAUAGAUAACAACAGGUGUGUCUGGAUUACCUGUGGAGCGACCGAACAGACGUGGAACACUUGUGUGGAUGGUGGGAGGGGCCCCACCAGAGUGUGUGUGUUCCUGGAAGCUGCAGGUAUAUGUUACUGAAGACUGAGAAGCACCUGCUGACAAUUCUUGGAAUUGUGGACAUUUGCUGCAUAUGGACACACACAUUCACUGCUGACAGGUCUGUGGCUGCCAGAGUAAAGACGAGAUGGUAUGGGUUGGAAGGGACAUGCUGUUACCGCAUCAGGACCAGGAGGAGUCUAGAAGACGUGGUGGAGGGACUAGUGGAUUUAAACACACCUUCCCGGGAGAAAGGAGAUAGGACUGACAGGAUGCAGGGUCCUGAAUGUUCUUCAGCUGGUGAACCUCGUCUUGUGUUGGGCAAUGGCAGCUGGUCUGGCAGAACUUCAUGAGCUCCAUGACCUUGGACUCAUAGACUAUACACUUUGGCUUUUGCCAGCCCUGUGCAGUCUCUUCCGAGUCAGAUGUUGAGCUUGAGCUUGUUCCCGGCUGAAAGCUUUCAUUCGGUAGGUUUACAUGAUCUGUAUUACUGAAGCUGGUGUCAAGGUCAUCAUCAUCAGAAGCAGGAUUAGUCUGUAGGACACACUUGUCAUGUACUGUCAUGUUGUCUUGUCUCUGUCCUUUCCCUUCACCCUGUCUCCCUCUGCUGGUCGUGUUAGGUUACCUUUUCUCCCCCGCUUUCCCCCAGCUGUCCCUUGUCUCCUCUAACUACCCAUUCACCCCGUUCCCCACCUGUUCCCUUUUUUCCCUCUGAUUAGGUCCCUAUAUCUCUCUCUGUUUCUGCUCCUGUCCUUGUCGGAUUCUUGUUUGUUUGUGUCAUUCAUGCCUGAACCAGACUGUCGUCAUGUUUGCUGUAACCUUGUCCUGUCCUGUCGGAAUCUGCCGGUCCAUCUGAGCCUACCUAUGUUUGGUAAUUAAAGAAGCUCUGUUUAAGUUGAUUCGCUUUUGGGUCCUCAUUCACGCACCGUAACAGAAGAAUCCGACCAAGAAUGGACCCAGCGACUUCGGAUCCUCUCCACUCAGCC
rnacentral:lncRNA from 13 species